rfam:Schistosoma margrebowiei strain Zambia genome assembly, scaffold: SMRZ_scaffold0003505
AUCCAGUUGACGAGUAUCAAGUUGGACGAAACGCGCUUCCUGGAU